GACGAACGCUGGCGGCGUGCUUAACACAUGCAAGUCGAACGGAAAGGCCCUGCUUUUGUGGGGUGCUCGAGUGGCGAACGGGUGAGUAACACGUGAGUAACCUGCCCUUGACUUUGGGAUAACUUCAGGAAACUGGGGCUAAUACCGGAUAGGAGCUCCUGCUGCAUGGUGGGGGUUGGAAAUUUUCGGCGGUUGGGGAUGGACUCGCGGCUUAUCAGCUUGUUGGUGGGGUAGUGGCUUACCAAGGCUUUGACGGGUAGCCGGCCUGAGAGGGUGACCGGCCACAUUGGGACUGAGAUACGGACCAGACUCCUACGGGAGGCAGCAGUGGGGAAUAUUGCACAAUGGGAGGAAGCCUGAUGCAGAAACGCCGCGUGCGGGAUGACGGUCUUCGGGUUGUAAAACGCUUUAGCCUGUGACGAAGCGUGAGUGACGGCAAUGGGUAAAGAAGCACCGGCUAACUACGUG
rnacentral:rRNA from 1 species